GAGGUUGCUUAGGAAACCACCCACCACAAUGGCAGGAGACACCAUGAGAUGUUUUCUGCUGUAGAAACUUUCUCAUUAGAAAUAGCCCAUUUAUACAGGGGACUGGCUAAUGUUUUUCUAUGAGUAUCAUUAGCCAGUGUCUCAAAGUGGUGAAGAGUAAGUAUAUAGCAUCUUUCAAAACACAACCUGUGGAAGGCUAGGCAGGGAGUCAGGAAAGGCCGGAGUCACUAUGGGGUCACUUAUCGGCAUCUCCUCCAGUCCCAGAAGGAGGAGUUGAGGCUGACAUUGGACAAACAAAGUCUUAAUUUAAAAGCAGGAAUACACACCUGUCACCAACAGUAACCUCAUGAUUUAGAGGCAUUAGCUUCUUUUCCUACAAGCUUAGUGUGGGGUCAAGGUUACCUCUGGUCCAGAAUAUCUGGCAUAUGACAUAUUUGCAGGUAAGCUGUUUAGUAUUAAAAUGGCUUUGACAGCGUAUUUACUGUUAGGUUAAAGGACUAUAGACCAGUUGUUAAUAUGAGAAAUAUAGCCAGGAGAUGACUCUAACACAACGCUAACAGGAACAUAACAUCCGCUCUAUGUCUUCUCCCUUUCAAAGACAGCUGUUAAAGAGUAACAGAAUUCUCCAGAUUCAUUUCUCAGAUUUGUGGGAAAGCCUGAGUCAGGCACUUUGCAUCCCCCAUGCCUUUCAAACCUGAUGGGACUGCAACCUGGAACAAGGAGAGACAAAGGGAAGGAGGAGUCUGGAGCCAUAUUGAAGAUGAAAUUGAGAUAUGGACUAGGUGGUGGAUCGUUUUUAUAAGAGGACAUAAAAGAGGAUGCUAAAGCUAAUUGCCACAAUCAGAACUCAAAGACCUAGCAAAUGCAAGGUGGUAUUUAUUCUAAACUCAGCAAAGUAGUAGAAAAAUAGUUUUGAGAACAGUUUUAAGGAGACUAGGGUAACAGUGAGAAAAUAGUUCAUGGCUAGUCUGGACUUAAGACUUUAGGGUGACACUGGCCACCUCCCUGAACCUGAGCCAAGAUGAGGGUCUACACCUUGGCUUAGUUCUGCUAUGAAAGACUUUCCUGCAGUAAAAGUUACCUGUCUGAAACAUUCAGAAGAGUGAAAAUGCCACAUCUCCAAUUUCCAGCAAUAAUUUGUCUGCCAUCAUUUGGCCUGGAAGCUUAAGCAGGAAGACCACUUGGAGCCAGACUUCAGAGUGAUCUGUCUCUAAGGAAUAACUUUCAUAUUGCAGCAUUCGGUUUUGCAAUUCUUCCUAAGCUACUCUAAAUUCUCGGCAUAAAUCUGCAGAAAGACUUCACCCUCCACAUCAAACCCUUAUAAGGAUCCAUUUCUGCUCUCGUUUUAGAAUAUCUUUUCUAAUAGCUAAAGGCAGACAGAGGCAAACCAAGAAAUCCAGACUUUGCAUCAACGGGUUAAAUCAUAUGUCAAAGGUGCAACCAUAACGUAUUACAAGCUUCUCAUCACAUAAUACAUCACUCAAGAAAAAAUAUUUGGGGCAGCUUUUCUAAUUCAUCUUCCUGGUGUUAAAGGAGCACAUCUCCGGUGUUCGUGUCUUCUGUUUCAAUUAAA
rnacentral:lncRNA from 1 species